UAUUGCCUACGGGGGGCAGCAGUGGGGAAUAUUGCACAAUGGGGGAAACCCUGAUGCAGCGACGCCGCGUGAGCGAAGAAGUAUCUCGGUAUGUAAAGCUCUAUCAGCAGGGAAGAAAAAAAUGACGGUACCUGACUAAGAAGCCCCGGCUAACUACGUGCCAGCAGCCGCGGUAAUACGUAGGGGGCAAGCGUUAUCCGGAUUUACUGGGUGUAAAGGGAGCGCAGGCGGUGAGGCAAGUCUGAUGUGAAAACCCGGGGCUCAACUCCGGGACUGCAUUGGAAACUGUCUUACUUGAGUACCGG
rnacentral:rRNA from 1 species